rnacentral:lncRNA from 1 species
AUGGCUUCACUAAUGAGCUGUAUGGAACAUUCAUGGAUGAAACCAAUCUCAGACAGAAACUGGACUAGUAAAAAACAAGAGACUGUUACAAGAAGUAACAAAUUCCUGGUACUAGAAAUAUACAGUAGAAAGCAUUCCUGCACUGGGAGGGAAGCUAAACUUCACUUCCAAACCCAGAGGGUAGAUUCCUUUCACCAGAUAUGCAAGCAUUAUGACCUAAAGUCUCAUAUCAUCCUUCUCUUUCCAAACUGGGGUUGGGAAUGUAUCAGCUCUGGGCAGAGGCUUAACCCACUGAGCCACCCAGGCGCCCCCUGAUAUUUUCUUAUUUGUGUAUUUGCUUAUUGUCUUUCUUUCCCCUGAGUGCAGGGACAAGGUACUCAAAGUUUUGUCUCCGGACUGCUAAAUAGAGGGUAGUACUGGAUAAAUUAGCUGACAUCAUAGAUAUGCCCACUAACAUAACAUAAUAAUAAAUAGUAAGUUAUAUUAAGAAGGAUACUGAGUCUAGAGCCAGGUUCUAGGGGAAGAGAAUCAUUAUUACACACCAGUGUCUCCCACCGCUGUGGGAUGUGGAAAUGUUGGUGCAUGGGCCAUCCCAGAGAAAGUCAGUCCCAAGAUAAUUAAGUGCUAGAUGACACAGCAGAUCCGUGGGAGAGCCAGGUACAGCGUAGUCUCCCACCCCCCAACAGAUCUUUACCUUUUCCCUGAGAAGUCAAUGUGAUGGAGAACCAGUGCAUGGUUAAUAGGGAGGGGCUGACCAGAAAUGCAAUCUGAUUGGAUUAAAGAGAAAUUAGAGUGGGGACAGGAAUGGAAAGCUUUCUGCAGGAAGGAGAAAUUUAAUUGCCCCGUGAGUGAAUAUCUGGAAAUUUCCUUUGUGUCAGACUUACACUCUGAGCUUUACCUAGGGUGGGUAAUUGCUUUUUCUUUGCAACACCCUAAUGAAUUAAGUAGCAUGACCACAACUUUAUGGAUGAGGAAACUGAGUCACGGGAGGGCUAAGAAACUUGUUCCAGGUCACAGAGCUGUAAGGACUGAUUAGGGAUUAACAGCUAGGGAUUCCAAAGGUAGUUCCCCUCACCAAGCCUGUAAGCAGAGCAGGUGUGCCCAGCAGCAACAGCCCCAGUAAGGGUCUUAGGAUGGGGUCAAGGUUGGUGCUGUGUUUCCUGGGUAGCGAUGGACUAAUGACAGGUUCAGGUUUUAAUGGCAACCUGUUGGCCAAAUGCCCCACACCUGAGCCAUGAUUGCAAGCAACUCAAAGGUUUGUUACCGUCUCUGGCAUUGGCAAAACUGGGGGAGUCUCUGGGUGAGGGGCCCAGAGAUAAGAGGACUCCUUGACACUUGUGGGAGUAGAGAGCCUGAUCCUGGGGACACAGACAUAGGUCAGGAGCCCACCUGUUGAAAAAUACAGGAGGCGGUGGAGGGAGGCAGAUUAAUUUCAGGCUGGCUUUUGUUAAUCUGCUUGUCUG